rnacentral:misc_RNA from 1 species
GAUGAAGAACGCAGCGAAAUGCGAUAAGUAAUGUGAAUUGCAGAAUUCAGUGAAUCAUCGAAUCUUUGAACGCAUCUUGCACUCCUUGGUAUUCCGAAGGGCAUGCCUGUUCGAGCGUCAUUAUCACCCCUCAAGCCCUCGGCUUGGUGUUGGACGGUUUGGUGGAGGCCCCCUCGGGGGCUCCUGCCCCUCCCAAAGACAAUGACGGCGGCCUCGUUGGACCCCCGGUACACUGAGUUCUUCACGGGACACGUAUCGGACACAUGGGUUUACGGGACACGGUCUGCCUCCCCUCAGGGAGAAUCUUUCUAAGGUUGACCUCGGAUCAGGUAGGGAUACCCGCUGAACUUAAGCAUAUCAAUAAGCGGAGGA